rnacentral:snRNA from 2 species
AUACCUUUCUCGGCCUUUUGGCUAAGAUCAAGUGUAGUAUCUGUUCUUAUCAGUUUAAUAUCUGAUAUGUGGGACACGUGCCCACAAUGAUAUUAAAUUUAUUUUUUAUGGGGGAGGACUCGUAAUGGUAGCUUGCUACUAGGAUUCUCAUGCGUCGUCUUAGCGUUGCACUAUUGCUUGGCUUGGCGUGCCCCAA